UUUGACUGGGGCGGUCGCCUCCUAAAGUGUAACGGAGGCGCCCAAAGGUUCCCUCAGAAUGGUUGGAAAUCAUUCGCAGAGUGUAAAGGCAUAAGGGAGCUUGACUGCGAGACCUACAAGUCGAGCAGGGACGAAAGUCGGGCUUAGUGAUCCGGUGGUUCCGCAUGGAAGGGCCAUCGCUCAACGGAUAAAAGCUACCCUGGGGAUAACAGGCUUAUCUCCCCCAAGAGUCCACAUCGACGGGGAGGUUUGGCACCUCGAUGUCGGCUCAUCGCAUCCUGGGGCUGUAGUCGGUCCCAAGGGUUGGGCUGUUCGCCCAUUAAAGCGGUACGCGAGCUGGGUUCAGAACGUCGUGAGACAGUUCGGUCCCUAUCCGUCGCGGGCGUAGGAAAUUUGAGAGGAGCUGUCCUUAGUACGAGAGGACCGGGAUGGACACACCUCUGGUGUACCAGUUGUUCUGCCAAGGGCAUUGCUGGGUAGCUAUGUGUGGACGGGAUAAAUGCUGAAAGCAUCUAAGCGUGAAGCCCCCCUCAAGAUGAGAUUUCCCAUCACGUAAGUGAGUAAGACCCCUGAGAGAUGAUCAGGUAGAUAGGUUGGAAGUGGAAGUCUAGCGAUAGAUGGAGCGGACCAAUACUAAUCGGUCGAGGACUUAACCAAA
rnacentral:rRNA from 1 species